rnacentral:rRNA from 1 species
CGAAAACUUACCACCUUUGACAUGUACGGAAUCCUUUAGAGAUAGAGGAGUGCUCGAAAGAGAGCCGUAACACAGGUGCUGCAUGGCUGUCGUCAGCUCGUGUCGUGAGAUGUUGGGUUAAGUCCCGCAACCGAGCGCAACCCUUGUCAUUAGUUGCUACAUUCAGUUGGGCACUCUAAUGAGACUGCCGGUGACAAACCGGAGGAAGGUGGGGAUGACGUCAAGUCCUCAUGGCCCUUAUAGGUGGGGCUACACACGUCAUACAAUGGAUGGUACAAAGGGUCGCCAACCCGCGAGGGGGAGCCAAUCCCAUAAAGCCAUUCGUAGUCCGGAUCGCAGUCUGCAACUCGACUGCGUGAAGUCGGAAUCGCUAGUAAUCGUGGAUCAGAAUGUCACGGUGAAUACGUUCCCGGGUCUU